rnacentral:lncRNA from 10 species
GUUUAAUGAAUACAGACUUGAAAUUUGGGAAGAGGUAAAAGUUCUGGAGAUGGAUGGUGGUGAUGGGUGGUGAUGAUGGACAUUGGAGAUGGGCAAUGGACAUGGAUGGUGGUGAUGGAUGGUAUAAAUGGAUAUUGGAUGUGGACAGCGGACGUGGACAGUGGAGAUAGAGGGUGGUGAUGGCUGGUGGACAUGGACAGUGAAGAUAGAGAGUAGUGAUGGAUGGUGGAGAUAGAGGGCGGUGAUGGACAGUGGAGAUAGAGGGUGGUGAUGGACAGUGGAGAUAGAGGGUGGUGAUGGACAGUGGACAUGGACAGUGGAGAUAGAGGGUGGUGAUGGACAGUGGAGAUAGAGGGUGGUGAUGGACAGUGGACAUGGAUAGUGGAGACAGAGGGUAGUGAUGGACAGUGGAGAUAGAGGGUGGUGAUGGACAGUGGACAUGGACAGUGGAGAUAAAGGGUGGUGAUGGACAGUGGAGAUAGAGGGUGGUGAUGGACAGUGGAGAUAGAGGGUGGUGAUGGACAGUGGAGAUAGAGGGUGGUGAUGAACAGUGGAGAUAGAGGGUAGUGAUGGACAGUGGACAUGGACAGUGGAGAUAGAGGGUGGUGAUGGAUGGUGGACAUGGACAGUGGAGAUAGAGGGUGGUGAUAGACGGUGGACAUGGACAGUGGACAUGGACGGUGGGGACAGAGGGUGGUGAUGGACGGUGGACACAGACGGUGGAGAUAGAGGGUGGUGAUGGACGGUGGACACGGACAGUGGAGAUAGAGGGUGGUGAUGGACAGUGGAGAUAGAGGGUGGUGAUGGUCAGUGGAGAUAGAGGGUGGUGAUGGACGGUGGAGAUAGAGGGUGGUGAUGGACAGUGGACAUGGACAGUGGAGACAGAGGGGGUGAUGGACAAUGGACAUGGACAGUGGAGAUACAGGGUGGUGAUGGACGGUGGACAUGGACAGUGGAGACCGGGGGUGAUGAACAGUGGACAUGGACAGUGGAGACAGAGGGUGGUGAUGGACCCUGGAGAUAGAGGGUGGUGAUGGACAGUGGAGAUAGAGGGUAGUGAUAGACGGUGGACAUGGAUAGUGGAGAUAGAGGGUGGUGAUGGAGGGUGGUGAUAGACGGUGGAGAUGGAGGGUGGAGAUGGUGGGUGGUGAUGGAGGGUGGGGAUAAAUGGUGGUAAUGGACAGUAGAGAUGGACGGUGG